UUUAGUUUUCCUUUAAAAAAAAAAAUUUAUUUUCUUGGUGAUUUUUAUUUUCUCAGUUCUCAUUUAUUGGAUAUGUUCAUUUGAAUCCUUUUCUUAUGUAUAUAAGUGUAUAUGUUCCAUGUUUAUGGUGGAGAUUGUUGGAGAGUAGCAAGCCUUAAUCUCUAAGGAGACUCGUGGGGCUUCCAACCUUUUCUCAACAAACCUUCUUUUACUACUGUAAAAUUCAUGCUACUUGGUUAGAGCUGUAGACCUUACCUUUUUUUUUUUUUUUUUUUUUUUGUGAUCGACGAUUGCAUCAUAUUGCAUUUGCACCAUCAGAUGUUGGUAGUGGGAGGAAUGCUAAUACUGGAAAGGAUAAUGGGGUCAAUCAAAGCACCGACAGAGGCCUUACAUCCACCUCUUCACCAGUUUCGCAGGACAUAGAAAAUAAGGCAACCAUUCCAACCAUGAGGCGCUAAUUUCCAGCAUCUUUAUGGGAUGGAAAAACAAAGACACAAGGCGUUUAAAACAACGAAUAUUGAUGGUGAUUAACAGGCUUCCAUUCUUUGCUGUUAGGAAUGGUGACGAUUCUUGGUCACUAGAGAACAGUUCUGGGGGUCUAGUAAAUGCUCUU